rnacentral:rRNA from 1 species
AGCUCCAAUAGCGUAUAUUAAAAUUGUUGCGGUUAAAACGCUCGUAGUUGAAUAUUUGUUGAAGAUCUCCGGUCCAUCCUAGUGAUGUGUACCCGGUUCGUCUUUGGCACUUUUCUGGGGAACGUGUUUGCACUUCAUUGUGUGGCACAUGAUCCAGUACUUUUACUUUGAGGAAAUGAGAGUGUUUCAAGCAGGCGUUUGUCGUGAAUACGUUAGCAUGGAAUAAUAACAUAGGACCUUGUUCUGAAGUUGUUGGUUUUCGGAACGAGGUAAUGAAAAUAGGGAUAGUUGGGGGCAUUCGUAUUUAACUGUCAGAGGUGAAAUUCUUGGAUUUUUUAAAGACGAACUACUGCGAAAGCAUCUGCCCAGGAUGUUUUUA